GUUUUCCAUAGGCAAUCGAAAAUUGAAAUUCACAUAAUGGAACAAUUGGAUUCACCAUAGGAAUCUGUAACUUGGUAAACUGGGUAUUGAUAAGACGGAUAGGCACAAUAGUACGAGCCUGGUUGCGAUUGAACCAUCGCAGCUGCAGCUACAGCUGGAGCUGCAGCUGCAGCUGCGGGGCCACCACCAGCCGGGCCAACGCUAACCAAAUCCGCCUUACCCAAAUUCUUCCUCAAUAAGCUCGUUAGGGUCGCAGCAUCUACUUCUCCCACAACUUCGAGUU
rnacentral:misc_RNA from 1 species